rnacentral:rRNA from 1 species
CAUGCAAGUCGAACGAGGAUGUAUCCUUCGGGAUAUAAGCCGAGUGGCGCAAGGGUGAGUAAUGCAUAGAUUACCUGCCUCUAGGAUAAGGACAACUUUGUGAAAACGAAGCUAAUACUUAAUGAUACAAAAGGAAAUAAUUUUCUUUUGUCAAUGGGAGGGUAGCAAUACCUUUUGCCUAGAGAGGGGUUUAUGUCCUAUCAGCUUGUUGGUGGGGUAAUGGCCUACCAAGGCGAAGACGGGUAGCCGGUCUUAGAGGAUGGUCGGCCACACUGGGACUGAGACACUGCCCAGACUUCUACGGAAGGCUGCAGUCGAGAAUCUUUCGCAAUGCCCGAAAGGGUGACGAAGCGACGCCGCGUGAGUGAGGAAGGCCUUAGGGUUGUAAAGCUCUGUCAGGAGUUAAGAAAUAUAAAUGUGCUAAUACCACAUUUAUUUGACGAAGGCUCCAAAGGAAGCCACGGCUAACUCUGUGCCAGCAGCCGCGGUAAUACAGAGGUGGCAAGCGUUGUUCGGAAUUAUUGGGCGUAAAGAGCACGUAGGUGGGUUUGUAAGUCAGAUGUGAAAGCCUUCUGUUCAACGGAAGAAUUGCAUCUGAAACUACAAGUCUUGAGUGUAGGAGGGGAGAAUGGAACUUCUGGUGGAGCGGUGAAAUGCGUAGAUAUCAGAAGGAACGCCGGCGGCGAAAGCGAUUCUCUGGCCUAUUACUGACACUCAGUGUGCGAAAGCUAGGGGAGCAAACGGGAUUAGAUACCCCGGUAGUCCUAGCCGUAAACGAUGGGCACUAAGUAGAGGGAAUUACCGAUGUUCUCUCUGCCGUAGCUAACGCAUUAAGUGCCCCGCCUGGGGAGUACGGCCGCAAGGCUAAAACUCAAAAGAAUUGACGGGGGCUCGCACAAGCGGUGGAGCAUGUGGCUUAAUUCGAUGCAACGCGAAAAACCUUACCGGGGCUUGACAUGGUAGAAGUAGGAACCCGAAAGGGUAACGAACGGUAUCCAGUCCGUAGCUAUCACAGGUGUUGCAUGGCUGUCGUCAGCUCGUGUCGUGAGACGUUGGGUUAAGUCCCCUAACGAGCGAAACCCUUGUUUUUAGUUACCAGCGGGUUAUGCCGGGUACUCUAGAAAGACUGCCGUCGUCAAGACGGAGGAAGGUGGGGAUGACGUCAAGUCAUCAUGGCCCUUAUGCCCCGGGCUGCACACGUGCUACAAUGGUCGGUACAAACGGAAGCGAAGCCGAGAGGUGAAGCGAAUCCUAAAAAGCCGAUCUCAGUUCGGAUUGGAGGCUGAAAUUCGCCUCCAUGAAGUUGGAAUCGCUAGUAAUCGCGGAUCAGCAAUGCCGCGGUGAAUAUGUUCCCGAGCCUUGUACACACCGCCCGUCAAGCCACCCAAGCAGGAUGCACCCGAAAACAUUAUAUCUAACCAGGGCAACUUGGAGGAAAGUGUUGAAGGAGUGUUUUGUGAGGAGGACUAAGUCGUAACAAGGUAGUCGUAGGAGAACCUGCGGCUGGAUCACCUCCUUUCU